GGAAGUAAAAGUCGUAAACAAGGUUUCCGUAGGUGAACCUGCGGAAGGAUCAUUAUUGUAUAACCGAGGUGCGAGGGCUGUCGCUGACCCGAAAGGUCGUGCACGCCCGAGUGCCCUCACACACAUCCACCUCACCCCUAUGUGCACCACCGCGUGGGUCCCCCUUUGGCUUGUUCGGAGGGGGGCUUACGUUUUCACACAAACUUUGUAUGCAGUGUAGAAUGUAUUUUUUGUUUUUGCGAUCACGCAAUCAAUACAACUUUCAACAACGGAUCUCUUGGCUCUC
rnacentral:misc_RNA from 1 species